rnacentral:piRNA from 1 species
UUCAAGGAAUAUUUGAUCUGCUUCAUGAU